rnacentral:rRNA from 1 species
GACGAACGCUGGCGGCGUGCUUAACACAUGCAAGUCGAACGGAAAGGCCCUGCUUUUGUGGGGUGCUCGAGUGGCGAACGGGUGAGUAACACGUGAGUAACCUGCCCUUGACUUUGGGAUAACUUCAGGAAACUGGGGCUAAUACCGGAUAGGAGCUCCUGCUGCAUGGUGGGGGUUGGAAAGUUUCGGCGGUUGGGGAUGGACUCACGGCUUAUCAGCUUGUUGGUGGGGUAGUGGCUUACCAAGGCUUUGACGGGUAGCCGGCCUGAGAGGGUGACCGGCCACAUUGGGACUGAGAUACGGCCCGGACUCCUACGGGAGGCAGCAGUGGGGAAUAUUGCACAAUGGGCGGAAGCCGGAUGCAGCAACGCCGCGUGCGGGAUGACGGCCUUCGGGGUGUAAACCGCUUUCGCCUGUGACGAAGCGUGAGUGACGGUAAUGGGUAAAGAAGCACCGGCUAACUACGU